AUUCUCUAUAUCUUCUAUAUCUUUUCCUUCACCAGUGAUAAUUGUCAUAAUUUACAACCCUUUAGAAAAUUGUGCAUAGCUUGAGCUCAAUGAUUAUAAUUUGUGCCAUAUAAUAUAGUCUGAAUGGAUCGAGCAACAUCAUUUUGGGGUUGAGAUUAAACCGAGACAAAAGUGAAUAUUUUUGAGAUAUUAUGAAUGAAUAAAAAUAGCAAAACUCAAGUAUAGAAGCAAAAUUGAAAAAAAUCGAGGCCAGA
rnacentral:lncRNA from 1 species